ensembl:misc_RNA Y_RNA Y RNA
GGCUGGUCUGAUGGUAGUGGACUAUCAGAACUUAUUAACAUUAGUGUCACUAAAGUUGGUAUUCAACCCUCCACUGCUAAAUUUGACUGGCUUAAA